rnacentral:rRNA from 1 species
AACGUGCCCAGUAAUGGGGGAUAGCCCGGCGAAAGCCGGAUUAAUACCGCAUACGACCUUAGGGUGAAAGCGGGGGACUCGCAAGGGCCUCGCGUUAUUGGAGCGGCCGAUAUCAGAUUAGCUAGUUGGUGGGGUAAAGGCUUACCAAGGCGACGAUCUGUAGCUGGUCUGAGAGGGCGACCAGCCACACUGGGACUGAGACACGGCCCAGACUCCUACGGGAGGCAGCAGUGGGGAAUUUUGGACAAUGGGCGCAAGCCUGAUCCAGCCAUGCCGCGUGUGG